rnacentral:lncRNA from 10 species
AGAUGUGCAGAGAGCCUGGAAAUGUAACCUACACUCCUGUCUUAGGAGUCAGGCUGGGGCCACAUGUGGGCUCACAGAAAUCUGACACUAGGCCAGAAAGGGCAUUUCAGCAUUUACUUCCUCCUCUUAGAUGGCUUGCUUGGGGGUGGGGGCAUGCCAGACUCCCUUAGGGGGAAGCCACAUGGUGGGGAUACCCAGGCAGCCCUGUG